rnacentral:rRNA from 1 species
UACGUAGGGUGCAAGCGUUAAUCGGCAUUACUGGGCGUAAAGCGUGCGCAGGCGGCUUUGCAAGCCAGAUGUGAAAUCCCCGGGCUCAACCUGGGAACUGCAUUUGUGACUGCAUGGCUCGAGUCCGGGAGAGGGGGGUGGAAUUCCCAGUGUAGCGGUGAAAUGCGUAGAUAUUGGGAGGAACACCGGUGGCGAAGGCGGCCCCCUGGACCGGGACUGACGCUGAGGCGCGAAAGCGUGGGGAGCGAACAGG